rnacentral:rRNA from 1 species
GAUGAACGCUAGCGGUAGGCUUAACACAUGCAAGUCGAGGGGCAGCAUGGUCUUAGCUUGCUAAGACUGAUGGCGACCGGCGCACGGGUGCGUAACGCGUAUGCAACUUGCCUCACAGAGGGGGAUAACCCGUCGAAAGACGGACUAAUACCGCGUACACUCCAUCUUGGGCAUCCAAGGUAGAGGAAAUGAUAUUCGCUGUGAGAUAGGCAUGCGUCCCAUUAGCUAGUUGGUGAGGUAACGGCUCACCAAGGCGACGAUGGGUAGGGGAACUGAGAGGUUGAACCCCCACACUGGUACUGGGACACGGACCAGACUCCUACGGGAGGCAGCAGUGAGGAAUAUUGGUCAAUGGGCGAGAGCCUGAACCAGCCAAGUCGCGUGAAGGAUGACUGUCUUAUGGAUUGUAAACUUCUUUUAUACGGGAAUAACAAGAGUCACGUGUGACUCCCUGCAUGUACCGUAUGAAUAAGCAUCGGCUAACUCCGUG